GACCUCGGAUCAGGUAGGGAUACCCGCUGAACUUAAGCAUAUCAAUAAGCGGAGGAAAAGAAACCAACAGGGAUUACCUCAGUAACGGCGAGUGAAGCGGUAACAGCUCAAAUUUGAAAUCUGGCUCUUUUAGAGUCCGAGUUGUAAUUUGUAGAAGAUGCUUUGGGUGUGGCCCUGGUCUAAGUUCCUUGGAACAGGACGUCAUAGAGGGUGAGAAUCCCGUAUGUGACUAGGUGCUUUCGCCCGUGUAAAGCUCUUUCGACGAGUCGAGUUGUUUGGGAAUGCAGCUCAAAAUGGGUGGUAAAUUUCAUCUAAAGCUAAAUAUUGGCCAGAGACCGAUAGCGCACAAGUAGAGUGAUCGAAAGAUGAAAAGCACUUUGGAAAGAGAGUUAAACAGUACGUGAAAUUGUUGAAAGGGAAGCGCUUGCAACCAG
rnacentral:rRNA from 1 species